CCUACGGGAGGCAGCAGUGAGGAAUAUUGGUCAAUGGGCGAGAGCCUGAACCAGCCAAGUCGCGUGAGGGAGUACUGCCCUAUGGGUUGUAAACCUCUUUUGUCGGGGAGCAAAAGCCGGAAGUGGCCGGCUGUGAGAGUACCCGAAGAAAAAGCAACGGCUAACUCCGUGCCAGCAGCCGCGGUAAUACGGAGGAUGCGAGCGUUAUCCGGAUUUAUGGGGUUGAACGGGUGCGCAGGCGGAUUUUUAAGUCAGCGGGCAACUCGUGUGGCUCAACCCCAUCCAGCCGUUGAAACUGGGGAUCUAGCGUGUGCGAGUGGUAUGCGGCAUGCGUUGUGUUGCGG
rnacentral:rRNA from 1 species